rnacentral:rRNA from 1 species
GACGUAGGAUGCAAGCGUUGUCCGGAUUUAUUGGGCGUAAAGAGCUCGUAGGCGGUCUGUCGCGUCGGUCGUGAAAACUUGGGGCUUAACCCUGAGCUUGCGGUCGAUACGGGCAUGACUGGAGUUCGGCAGGGGAGACUGGAAUUCCUGGUGUAGCGGUGAAAUGCGCAGAUAUCAGGAGGAACACCGGUGGCGAAGGCGGGUCUCUGGGCCGAUACUGACGCUGAGGAGCGAAAGCGUGGGGAGCAAACAGG